CCUACGGGAGGCAGCAGUGAGGAAUAUUGGUCAAUGGGCGCGAGCCUGAACCAGCCAAGUAGCGUGAAGGAUGACUGCCCUACGGGUUGUAAAUUUCUUUUAUAAAGGAAUAAAGUGAGGCACGUGUGCCUUUUUGUAUGUACUUUAUGAAUAAGGAUCGGCUAACUCCGUGCCAGCAGCCGCGGUAAUACGGAGGGUCCGUGCGUUAUCCGGAUUUAUUGGGUUUAAAGGGAGCGUAGAUGGGUUGUUAAGUCAGUUGUGAAAGUUUGCGGCUCAACCGUAAAAUUGCAAUUGAUACUGGCAGUCUUGAGUACAGUUGAGGUAGGCGGAAUUCGUGGUGUAGCGGUGAAAUGCUUAGAUAUCACGAAGAACUCCGAUUGCGAAGGCAGCUUACUAGACUGCAACUGACAUUGAUGCUCGAAAGUGUGGGUAUCAAACAGGAUUAGAUACCCGGGUAGUC
rnacentral:rRNA from 1 species